rnacentral:rRNA from 1 species
CCUACGGGUGGCAGCAGUGGGGGAUAUUGCACAAUGGGGGGAACCCUGAUGCAGCGACGCCGCGUGGGUGAAGAAGCGCCUCGGCGCGUAAAGCCCUGUCAGCAGGGAAGAAAAAGACGGUACCGGAAGAAGAAGACCCGGAUAACUACGUGCCAGCAGCAGCGGGAAUACGGAGGGGGCAAGCGUUAUCCGGAGUUACUGGGUGUAAAGGGGGCGGAGACGGCGAUGCAAGCCAGGAGGGAAAGCCCGGGGCGCACCCCCGGUACUGCGCUUGGAACUGCGUGGCGGGAGUGCAGGAGGGGCAGGCGGAAUUCCUGGUGUAGCGGUGAAAUGCGUAGAUAUCAGGAGGAACACCGGUGGCGAAGGCGGCCUGCUGGACUGCAACUGACGUUGAGGCCCGAAAGCGUGGGGAGCAAACAGGAUUAGAUACCCUUGUAGUC